UUCCUGCGGUUGACUGCUAGGAAGACAGACAAGAGGAUGACUGUGAAAUGGCCUACUUACAGGGUCUUGGUCCACAUAUUUAUUGACAAAAUAAGCCCACCAAAGUCUCAGCUGUUCAACUCAUCUUUGAUUUGAGGGAAAGCCAUGUCUGUCUUAAGCAUGACAUUCCCGAGAGAGAGCUUCCAAGUCAUCCUCAGAUGUCCAUCAAGUUUAAGGAAAAGGCAUAAAAAUACUGCAGGCUAAUAAGAAGUGAAAGAGGCAUACACAAUGUGCAAAUAAAGCAGAAAAUGAUACAGACAUCUAGAAUAAGGAAGAAGACCAGAUCUUUGUGCAGUAGGGACCCUAAGCUUUGAAGAACUCUAGUGAUAGCAGGUCAGAAGAAAAUUCCUGAGAUUGGGAGCUUGCACCUUUCUGAAGAAACAGACAUGCAACAGGAUGUAAGGAGAAAGGAGUAGAGACGAGACAGGAAAUGGAAUCAAGAAGAAAGACAAAGGCAGUGGGAAAGAACCAGGCAUUUGCAAUAAUAUAGAUAAUUUGGGUGACUGAACUAGUAAAAACCUGUUUUUCUGUGUGAGAAGUCUGUGUUAAAUGUAUAGAGGCAGCUAAUAUAUUAGAGCA
rnacentral:lncRNA from 1 species